UGGUCAAAUGUACUAUGGUUAUUGCAUCCUCUGUCUGUACCCAGCCAUGGGUGAUGACUAGACCAAGGGCGAUGGUCACUCCGUCUCUUCUUUUGCUUUUGUGGGAAUGACCGAACUAUGGCACUGUAUCAGACUAAGCGUGUGUGUUGUAUUUUCGAACUAUGAAGCUUCCACUACUUGAAGAACUUGGUUGUAAUAACUUUAAGAACUCCGAUGUAUUUUAUGAAUGUUGUAAUCUGGAUGUAUUUGUGAAUGGCAACCGCU
rnacentral:lncRNA from 1 species